AUGUUUAGGGUCAGGGUAAGGAUUAUGGUCACAGAGUAAGGGUCCAGGUUAGGAUUAGGAUUAUGUUUAAGGUCACAGAGUAAGGGUCCAGGUUAGGAUUAGGAUUAUGUUUAAGGUCACAGAGUAAGGGUCCAGGUUAGGAUUAGGAUUAUGUUUAUGGUCACAGAGUAAGGGUGCAGGUUAGGAUUAGGAUUAUGUUUAAGGUCACAGGGUAAGGGUCCAGGUUAGGGUUAAGUUUAUGUUUAAGGUCACAGAGUAAGGGUCCAGGUUAGGAUUAGGAUUAUGUUUAAGGUCACAGGGUAAGGGUCCAGGUUAGGGUUAAGAUUAUGUUUAAGGUCACAGAGUAAGGGUCCAGGUUAGGAUUAGGAUUAUGUUUAAGGUCACAGAGUAAGGGUCCAGGUUAGGGUUAAGAUUAUGUUUAAGGUCACAGAGUAAGGGUCCAGGUUAGGAUUAGGAUUAUGUUUAAGGUCACAGGGUAAGGGUCCAGGUUAGGGUUAAGAUUAUGUUUAAGGUCACAGAGUAAAGGUUCAGGUUAGGUAGGAUUAGGAUUAUGUUUAAGGUCACAGAGUAAGGGUCCAGGUUAGGAUUAGGAUUAUGUUUAAGGUCAC
rnacentral:lncRNA from 1 species